rnacentral:rRNA from 1 species
CGUUGUAAUUUGAAGAUAGUUUCCUUGAGUAGUCCUUAUCUAUGUUCCUUGGAACAGGACGUCAUAGAGGGUGAGAACCCCGUAUGAUUUUGGAUACUACUCUUUGUGGGAUUCUAUCGAAGAGUCGAGUUGUUUGGGAAUGCAGCUCUAAGUGGGUGGUAAAUUCCAUCUAAAGCUAAAUAUUGGCGAGAGACCGAUAGCGAACAAGUACAGUGAUGGAAAGAUGAAAAGAACUCUGAAGAGAGAGUGAAAAAGUACGUGAAAUUGCUGAAAGGGAAGGGCUUGAGGUCAGACUUGGUGUUUAAUGAUUAUCAGUUCUUCUUGGACUGUGCACUCGUUUUUCACCGGGCCAAUAUCAGUUUUAGCGGUAGAGUACCCCUUGAAAUGUGGCUUCCUUCGGGGAGUGUUAUAGUCUUGGGGAGAUCUACUUGCUGGGACUGAGGACUGCGCUUCGGCAAGGAUAUUGGCGUAAUGACCUUAAGCCGCCCGUCUUGAAACACGGACCAAGGAGUCUAACGUCUAUGCAAGUGUUUGGGUGUAAAACCCGUACGCGUAAUGAAAGUGAACGUAGGUUGGGGCCCUUUAAGGGUGCACAAUCGACCGAUCCUGAAGUUUUCAGAUGGAUUUGAGUAAGAGCAUAGCUGUUGGGACCCGAAAGAUGGUGAACUAUGCCUGAAUAGGGUGAAGCCAGAGGAAACUCUGGUGGAAGCUCGUAGCGGUUCUGACGUGCAAAUCGAUCGUCGAAUUUGGGUAUAGGGGCGAAAG